rnacentral:rRNA from 1 species
CCUACGGGCGGCUGCAGUGAGGAAUAUUGGUCAAUGGGCUGACGCCUGAACCAGCCAAGUCGCGUGAGGGAAGACUGCCCUAUGGGUUGUAAACCUCUUUUGUCAGGGAGCAACGCCGGCUACGUGUAGCCGGACUGAGAGUACCUGAAGAAAAAGCAUCGGCUAACUCCGUGCCAGCAGCCGCGGUAAUACGGAGGAUGCGAGCUUUAUCCGGAUUUAUGGGGUUUAAGGGGUGCGUAGGCGGAAUGCCAAGUCAGCGGUAAAAUCGCGGGGCUCAACCUCGCUCCGCCGUUGAAACUGGCGUUCUUGAGUGGGCGAGAAGUAUGCGGAAUGCGUGGUGUAGCGGUGAAAUGCAUAGAUAUCACGCAGAACUCCGAUUGCGAAGGCAGCAUACCGGCGCCCAACUGACGCUGAAGCACGAAAGCGUGGGUAUCGAACAGGAUUAGAUACCCUAGUAGUC